UGGCCCUGGGUAAUUACCGAAGGCUCUAGGCCCUCGGUAAAGCCUUCGGUAUCAUGCACGGAUAAAUGUGUUGUAUUUGUUUUUCUUAUCCAACCACACAUACCUAUAGUGUACACAACAUAAGCAGACCUUCGAGUUUGACCUUAUUCUUUAUUUUUGACCACUUUCCUACCUUUAUUAGACUAAUAUAGACUUGUUAGGAUGUUUACAUACAUUACAAUAAGUCUACAUUAGUUGAAUUGACCAUUUUUGACCUUAAAAGUUCACUUUUUAGGUACUUAAGAGUCAAAUUUUGAGUUUGACCUUAUUCUUUGCUUUUGAGUACUUUCCUACCUUUAUUAGACUAAUUGUAUGCUUUUGAAUAUUUUCCUAGGUUCAUUUCAAUACUUUAGACAUGUUAGGAUCUUCACAUUAGUUAAAACUCGUCUAAAUUGGGUCUAGUUGCAAUUCUUCACCUUUUAAGCACANUUUUUGGCUUCAAAAGACUAAAACUAUGAGUUUGAGGUGAUUCUUUGCUUUUGUCAACUUUCCUAGCUUCAUUCCACUUGUUUAGACAUGUUAAGAUGUUCACAUUACUUAAACUAAGUGUACCUUAGGUGAAUUGCCAAUUUGUCACCCUUUAAGUGAACUUUUUAGUUUGAAACUACUCAAACUUUGACUUUUAGGUAUUUNUUUGCUUUUGAGUAGUUUCCUACCUUCACUUGAAUACUUUAGACUUAUUAGGAUAUUAACAUGAGUUAAAAUUAGUCUACUUUAGGUGAAUUACAAAUUUCUCACCUUUUUAGUACACUUUUUUAGGUUCUAACUACUCAAAAGUUGAGUUUUAGCUACUUGUUUGCUUUUGAGUACUUGUUAGCAAUAACAAGGUGUUGAUUUUGAUUUUUGCAGUUUCUUUGCUAUUUGGUAGUUUAAACAAGUCCUAAAUGUUGAUUUAAACUUGUUACAACAUUCAAAUUUUAGAUANAUUCAUCUGUGUGCAAAAUAGCAUGUUCACACCUUAUUUUUCAAUGAAAUGGGGAAGUAGAAGGGUGAAUCUGUUGUACAGUUUGAUUUUGAACUUUUUAAGUGUUCAAACAAGUUUAAUUUAGUGAAUUAAAGAUGUUGAAAGUAUUAUCAAAGAGUCAGAAUCACUUGUGCAUGAAUUCACUUUUAAAACCACCAUACUUGGGUCAAUUUUUUGGUGCAGAGUUGAAGAAUUUAAGUGUUGUCCAGUGACCAUUUCUGGUGCAGUUUUUCAGCUAAUUUGGUGCUAAUUUUUAUGUCAAAUUGUGGUGUUCUUCAGACUUUUUGGUGCAGUCCAGUUUCANAAUGUAGGGUAGACAUAUUUCUAUUGAUUUCAAGUUAAUAUGAUUUCCUUCCUGGCAUGCUUCCACAUGCAGUUGUUUUACUACAAAAAAGAAGGGAUGUCUAAUCUGAAUUUAAUUCAUUCUAGUUGAUAAUUUCCAGCUUCAUCUAGUGUAUUAAGAUUUCCUUGAGCCAUUUUCAUUGUUGCUAUAACUUUUGAAUCAAUCUANCUUGAUUUUGGUGGAUUGAUGGGGUAUUUUUCUGCAUAAAUUGGCCAUAACAAGAUCUGAUUUUGAUUUCUGUUGUUUCUGAGUUAUUUCAUAGCUUGAACAAGUUUUAAAUUGUGUUUAAAAGCUGCUAGCAGAUUUCAAUUAGUAUUAUCUUGGCCUAAGUGCAGAGUUGUGUCUUAAACCAUCACAUUUUGAGUUAACUUAGGAAGUGACAAGGUGAAUUUGAGUAUCAAUCUGUCUUUCCUCUAAUAUUUUGUCCAUGAAUCAUUUACUUAAUCAUUUAACUUCCAAUUUAGCGAUACUAAGUCAUUUGCUCUUUUGCUCUUUAACCUAUAAUGCAUUUCAUCAUUAUUUACUCUAACCACACCUCAUCAUUGUCUUUUACAGUUUACUCUCGUGCUUAUGCACUUCUACAUAUACCGUGUAUUCAUUCUUUUCACAAUUAAUGAGAAUUACACUCUUUCUUACUAUUUCUUCUCUCACGAUCUACACUACCUUUGUUCUUUUCUCUACAUAAUCAUUGCCUAACUCACUACAUAUAUCACAUUAUUAAAAACCAAAACCAGAUUGAAGUGUUGCAAAACUAAAACGUUCAGCAUGUCCUUUUUCUAGUUUCCAUUGGAUUAAGCUAUUGAUUUCAUGAGCUAUUAUGUUCUCCAUGGGUAUCAUGAGUUAUUGAAGAUAAAGACAUGAGUGAUGAAGUUAAGUAUUUUACAUGGGUUUCUUGAACCUUGUACAUGUUACAUUGUGGGUGUUAUCAAAGUAAGAAAUAGAAAGGAAUNAGAUGAAGAUGAUGAAAGUUGAAUUGCUGAAGAAUGGGGAGAAUGGGGCUAUAUUCGAGAUGUUGAUGUAGAGGGUUGGGUUUAACUAAAGUUAAGUGGAGGGAGAGAAUGCUCUUGGCCUAGCUUCAGCCCUAGACACAAUGAAACUAGAAUUUGAUAUUUUUAAGGGUGUUGUGAUGGUCUUCUUCCAAGAGGCCAUUUCGGUGGAAGGGUGAAGAACAAGGUGUGGAAGGGUAAGAAGAAUAUGCAGUNAAGAGAACACAANAGAGGAGAAAGAGAAAGAGAGAUAGAAGGUUUUGAUGACAAUAAGCUCCCAUAAACCUUGAGUGGAAUAAGCAUACAUAACUUAAUUUUAUAACCAUUCCAAAACCAACUUAAAUGAAAUAAGACAAAAAAAUAAAUAAUUGAUGACCAUAAUACUACUAUAAUUCCAAUUAAGGUUUAUACGUAUUUAAGUGGACGUUUCAUAAUCAUUAAUCAANGGUGCAUGGUNNNNACUAUUCAAUACUUCCACCAACAACACACAAGCAAAGCCAAAGUAUAAGGUCACCAAAUCAAAUGUUAUGAAUCAUAAACAUAUUAGACAAUGACAAAGCACUAAAGGUUAUCAUAUCAUUCAUACCAUCACUGACCAAUUGUGUAAACAAAGAAAUUACCUAAUACAGCAAAGGGAAAUAUGNACACACCAACUAAUCAAGUUGCAGUAAAGAAUCACGUCUCUGUUCACCUUCAACGUGCCUCACCAAUGGCCUGGAAAAUGCUGGACAGUCAGUGCCAACAAUGAAUUUGACAAAUGAAAGACACAUGACACAAACUUAGACUUUGGUAUGGAACCAAGGGAACCAGACUCAAAUGAACUCAUUCACUUCUUCUUAUCGUUAGAAAAUGGAAACAGAUUGAGUAGAAAACAGGGGCAUCAAUUUUCAAUGUUACAACUUACCUCCACAGUAGGAACUCUCCACAGCAGGAACUCUCCACAGCCUCCCUCGAAGAAUGCAAGGUGGACUUCGGCAACCUUCGUUCACCACGAUAGCAAAGGAAAAGUGAGCUCCAAAACCUCGUAGCAAAGUCCCUCAACCAAUAUUUACUAAGCAUAGUGUCAAUCAUUGANGACCAACCCUUGACCACAAGAAAUCAAGAAAAUCGUUGACACACUUACCGAUUAUGCGAAUGAUCCUCUACNAAUGGCUCUACCUCUGCACGUGAGGGAAAGAGAUGNACACUCUGCGAAACCCUCCAACGAAGUGCCUCUGUGCAAAUGAACCCUCCAACGACAGAACCAAGUGCCACCAAAGAUGGGGGUCUGCGACUGCUUGCACGAACGAGGGAGAAUGCUUGGCCGAGGGUUGUCUUGNUGNGGGCGAGGGUUCUCUGGCUAAACGGAAGGUGUAUUUGGCUCGAAGGAAGGGGAAUGGUUGCGAGGGUCCGAACUCUCAAAGAAAGCAAGAGAAAUUUUGGCUCGAAAUGAAAUUUGGGCGAGCAGAAACCCAGGUUUGGAGUCUGAUUACUCGAGCACCUUACCGAGGGUCAUAUAUCCUUCGGUAAAUUAAUUCACCAAUCCUUUACCGACGGCAUAGAGACCUUCGGUAGUUUUCCUUCGGUAAUUUGCAUAUUUCUUGUAGUGUCAUCUCUUAGUCCUCUAAUGAUGUUCUUUAAAAUAUAAAGGAAGUAUGUGAGAAGACUCUCUAAAGUCUCUCUCUAAAUCUCUUUAGACAGUCUGGCAAAAAGUCUCCAGAAGGCUCUCUCAAAACAGAGAGGAAAUUAUGUUUUUAUAGACAUUCCAAAGUGUGGCUUCAGCAGUGGCGUCAUGACUCUAGUUGUGAGGUUUCCUCCCAAGGUGGACUUUUUAUAUGGCUUAGGCCUUGUGCUUCUAUGCUGGAGCCCUUUGAGAUAACUUCUAGGAGAAAUAUUUUUCAUGGUUUUAACCUCAGGUCAGAGCUUGAGGUUUCCUUCCAAGAUGAGUUUCUUCGUGUGGUUCAAGCCUCAAAUUCCACGCUACAGUCGCGCUCAAGUCAGUUUGUUAUAUUUUGCUUAUAAUUCCUUUGUUUUCUUCAUAUUUCACCUUUGACUCUCUAUUCAUCAAAACCUGCAAAACAAGUAAAAUUGGGAUGAUUACUAUAAAUAUUUAACAUAAUCCAAACAAGAUAAAUACCAAAUUAACACCAAAACUAACUCAUAUUGAAUACUUAUCACCUUCUUCGUGUCUUCUGAUUUGUUCCACGAAUUUUCAGCCUCUAGCAAUGAAUCCCAUGAUACCAAUACUUUCGAGAUAUCCCUUCCACUUUUGUGAAUAAUAGGUGUGCCAAGAUUUUAUAAGGGCUCAAUAUAGGACCAAAUUCAUUAGAUGUUAAGAGUGAAGGUAGGUAUUGAUGAUUUGACUCCCCU
rnacentral:lncRNA from 1 species